GUACAACAGAAACUCCAUUACAUGGGAAUGACACCACAUUGAAGAAUGGUGAGUACAGAGGCUAAAGCAGCUUGACUCAGCCCAUGGAACAGCAUCCCUGGGUGUAGGUGUCUCUGGAGCAAAUUUCCACCUCCCCUCUCUCCCCUCAUUUAACUUGGAGCCUGACUGAAGAAUUUCAAGCCCAGAUUCACCCUGGGUGAGAGGGCAAAGCAGCAGCAGCAGGGUCUCAGCUCCAUCCCUCCUCACCUCGAGAAACCUGCGUGAGAGAUGCCCGUAGGUAAAGAGGCGAACGCCCGUUCCCGGCCCGCUGAGGGCAGGCCGAGCGCACAGAGGAUGCGGCAGGUGAGGGCCGGGGCAGGAGGGACAGGCGGUGGUGGGGCAGGGCCGUACAGAGCCGCCGGGUGCCGGGGCCGGGCUUGCCGGCCCUGAGGGGGCAGGUGUGCAAAUGCAGCCGCAUUCAUGACGCAUCUCUUGCUCCUCCUCCCGUCCGCAGGGGGCCCGCAGGCAGCCCGAGGAAGAGCAGCAGGGCAGACCGAGCCUCGCCUCAUCCCGCCAUGGGAUCACCGUGCCACAGGUGCCCUACCCUCAGGGCUUUCGGCCUGUCAUCAACCCGCAGGCACAGGUGGGCAGAGCGAGGGAGAUGGGGCCCAAUGUCCUCCCGACCGUGGGAGCUGCAGACGGGUGUGCGGGAGGAGCAGGAGGGAGCAAGCCGAGUGCCCCCGUGCCGUGCCCGUCAGGCUGCCCGGCCACGCCGGGGGUGCUCUGGGCAGUGGCCGUGGGCUGCGGCUGGCCAGCCCUCUCCCCUGCCGGAGCGGGGAGCAGGCGGCAGCAGCCUGCGGGGCUGAGCCCUGCCCUGGGGCUGCCAGGGGAGCCCAACUGCAUGAGCUGGGAUGCGGGCGCAGGGGACACCAUCACACAGCCUCUCCUCGGCUUCUCUUGCAGACGGGCAGCCCGGGGCACCGAGUGGUGCUGCCCCGCACCAGCGGCGCAAUGCAGGAGCAGACGCUUCGUCUGCCACCAGUGGUGGCAAUGACACCCCGGCCACCACCUCCUUCAGAAAAACCCAUAACAAGGUUCAUCAGGCGGCCAACUGUGUCAGGGAGGCAGGAACCCCACCAGCAGCCAGAGGCACGGCAGGAGCCACCACGCAGCAGGGCUGCAGGGACAAGCACAAGAACAGCCACUGUCCAAGCAGCCCCAAGCAGCAAGGACCGAGCCACUCAGACUACAAUGAGGACUGCUGGGAGAGUGGCCGAGCACCUGCCGGCGAUACCGACAAUGGGCAGCAAGGGCAGCCUCAACACCAGGUCGCCAGGGCUACACCACAAGGUGUUGCCACAGCACCUGCCCCCACUGGCCAGCAAGACCGACCCUAGGGAGCAGCCAAAGGGAAGCAGCCUGCCUGCAGCUAUUAAGGAGAAACUGGCACCUCUCCCUCCAGUGGC
rnacentral:lncRNA from 14 species